CUCAGGAGAUCAUGACCUGAGCCAAAAUCAGAAACUUUACGGACUGAGCCACCAAGGCACCCCCAUAAAGUUUACCAGAACUUUAAAAUACAGAUUUAUGAAAUGCUGGGGUGUUGUUUGUGCUGAUGAUUAGUGUAGGAUGGUAUUCUAGUUAUAACUUUACUAAAUGUUAGAUUGAACAAAUAUAUUUCCCUGUGAGUCCCCUGCAUUCUACAUUUUCUAAGCAGGGACUUUUAGGUUUGCAGUUCAGGGAAGGAAUUAAAUAACCCUACAAAAAAGUUUCUGGGUAACUUAUAAAUUCAAUGAUUUUCAUUUCCUUGUGUGAAAAUAGAAAGAAUGUUCGUAUUUUAUUUACUAGCAUUGGUAGUCAAAGCCUUCUCACUUGAGAUCCAUGCAGAUGUGAGAGUUCUCCCACUUGUCUGAGGGCCAUGGCGUGUUCCUGAAAGGGGGUUGGGGGGUUGCAUGCAGGUGCAUCGGGAUUUUGUGGUCAGGGUCUCUGGUAAGACUGGAGUCUCUUGGCUUCUCUCUCCUUGCCCAGCUUUUCCUCCUAACUUCUUGGACUGUCCGUGAGUGGGGAGAUCCAGAGGAGGCGAGGUGGUGGCUGAAUUCCUGAGAAUGCAACUGCAGAAAAACAGGAUUAACAUCCAGAGAACUGCUACCACGAGAAUUGGUGUUAAGAAUGGAGAGCUCGCUGCCAGAGGGAUCACUCUGGGGCUGUCCUUCAGAAGAGCCAUCUCAGGAGUCCCACGCUCUCCUGCAGGACCUGUCUGCCUUCAUAGACUCUAAAGAACAAGUGAGUUCUGUAAGAUGACAGAUCCUCACCCUGCUGACCGUAGGUUCUUUGUCAUUGUUGUCAUCCUGGAGAGUGCUGGGCAUUGCUUCAUGAUUCUCUACCUGUUAAUAUGAACGGACCUAUCACGAGUAUGUGUUCAGUGUUUGCUGUAAAAAAAGUGUCUGCACAUUAGUUCUUUGAAAAUCUCAACAUCACUAUUGAUAAAUUUUUUUAAGUUGUUUUUUUCCCCAUUAACUUCUACAAAUGUGGGGCUCAAACUCCUGACGCUGAGAUCAGGAGUCACAUGCUCUUCCAACUGAGCCAGCUAGGUGCCCAUUGCUACUGUUUAAUCUAGGUUAUAAUCACUAACCACUAACUAGGAAUUCAAAAUUUCCAGUUUAUUGGGAAAUUGCCAGGUUCUUUCACAUUGAGAUUACUGUAUAAUGAAGUAAUUGUGUGCUUACUGUGUAUUUCUGUUUGAAUGUGUCUGAAAGACACAGGGCAGACCAGCAUGGGAGUUUGAACCACAAAUGGAGUUUGACCUUUCUUUUCUUCUUUUUUUUUUAUUUAUUUUUUAU
rnacentral:lncRNA from 1 species